rnacentral:rRNA from 1 species
CAGUCGCCGCGGUAAUACGUAGGUGGCAAGCGUUGUCCGGAAUUGUUGGGCGUAAAGGGCUCGCAGGCGGUCUCUUAAGUCUGAUGUGAAAGCCCCCGGCUCAACCGGGGAGGGUCAUUGGAAACUGGGAAACUUGAGUGCAGAAGAGGAGAGUGGAAUUCCGCGUGUAGCGGUGAAAUGCGUAGAGAUGUGGAGGAACACCAGUGGCGAAGGCGACUCUCUGGUCUGUAACUGACGCUGAGGAGCGAAAGCGUGGGGAGCGAACAGGAUUAGAGACCCCCGUAGUCCCUGUCUCUUAUAC